rnacentral:lncRNA from 1 species
ACGGGGUGGCACCCAAGGGUGACGGGGUGGGACCCCAUCAUGACGUGGUGGGACCCCAGGGUGACAUGGUGGCAUCCCAGGGUGACGUGGUGAGACCCCAGGGUGACGUGGUGGGACCCCAUCAUGAUGUGAUGGCCCAAAGGGUGAUGUGGUGGGACCCCAGGGUGAUGUGGUGGGACCCGAGGGUGACGUGGUGGGACCCCAUCGUGAUGUGGUGGCCCCAAGGGUGACGUGGUGGGACCCCGGGGUGACGUGGUGGGACCCCAUCAUGAUGUGGUGGGACCCCAGGGUGAUGUGGUGGCACCCAAGGGUGACGUAGUGGGACCCAAGGGAUACGUGGCGGCACCCCGAGGGCGAUGUGGCGGCACCCGAGGGUGACGACGGUCGCCCUGGUAGGACGGAGGUGUUCGGGCCCGGGCGGGGGAGCCGGGCGGGGGCCAGCAGGAUCCUGAUCGUGGUGACGGACGGCCGGAAGUACGGCGACCCGCUGGAGUACCGCCACGUCCUCCCCGAGGCGGAGCGCGCCGGGGUCAUCCGCUACGCCAUCGGGGUCCAUCCGUCCAUCCAACCAUUUCCAUAUGUUCUAGAACAUCUCCAGAACCUCUCCAUCCAUCCCAAAACGUCUCCAUCCGUCCACCCAACCACUCCCAGAUGUUCUAGAACGUCUCCAUCCAUCCCAAAACAUCUCACCCGUCCAUCCAACCUCUCCCAGAUGUCCUCCAACACCUCCAGAACCUCUCCACCCAUCCCAAAACAUCUCCAUCCAUCCACCCAACCACUCCCAGAUGCUCUAGAACACCUCCAGAACAGCUCCAUCCGUCCAUCCAACCACUCCCAGAUGUUCUAGAACAUCCCCACCCAUCCCAAAACAUCUCACCCACCCACCCAACCACUCCCAGAUGUUCUAGAACAUCUCCAAAACGUCUCCAACCACCCAUCCAACCUCUCCCAGAUGUUCUAGAACACCUCCAGAACAUCCCCACCCACCCCAAAACACCUCAC